rnacentral:rRNA from 1 species
AAACGGCCGCGUUAGCGUGAGCGUGCUAAGGUAGCGUAAUAAAUAGCCUUUUAAUUGGAGGCCAGUGAAUGGCAAGACUAGGGACACCUGUACCCUGUAUGGCAAAAAAACUUUUCAUUUGAGUGAAAAGACUCAAAUAACAAAGGAAGACGAAAAGACCCCGCGGAACUUUACCUUUUCCAAUUUUCACACGCCCUAUAAGCGUAAAAACUGAAAGGUUUGAUUGGGGCAAUCUCGGAACCAACCAAACUUCCGACACUACACAAAAGUAUACAAAAUUUGGUAAAGACUAAAAAGAAGUUACCCCGGGGAUAACAGCGUAAUCCAACUUGAGAGUACGCAUCGAAAGUUGGGUUUGCGACCUCGAUGUUGGCUUAAGGAUAUCCACAUAAGUGCAAC